rnacentral:rRNA from 1 species
AGCCCUGGAGGUUGCAAAAAAUUGGUGGCUGCGACUGUUUAUUAAAAACAUAGCACUGUGCAAACACGAAAGUGGACGUAUACGGUGUGACGCCUGCCCGGUGCCGGAAGGUUAAUUGAUGGGGUUAGCGUAAGCGAAGCUCUUGAUCGAAGCCCCGGUAAACGGCGGCCGUAACAAUAACGGUCCUAAGGUAGCGAAAUUCCUUGUCGGGUAAGUUCCGACCUGCACGAAUGGCGUAACGACUUCCCCACUGUCUCCAGCAUCGACUCAGCGAAAUUGAAUUGCCCGUGAAGAUGCGGGCUACCCGCGGUUAGACGGAAAGACCCCGUGCACCUUUACUACAGCUUUGCAUUGGACUUUGAACCUAUUUGUGUAGGAUAGGUGGGAGACUUUGAAGCGUGAACGCUAGUUUGCGUGGAGUCAUCCUUGAAAUACCACCCUGGUAUGUUUGGAGUCCUAACCCAGGUCCGUAAUCCGGAUCGGGGACAAUGUAUGGUGGGUAGUUUGACUGGGGCGGUCUCCUCCCAAAUAGUAACGGAGGAGCACGAAGGUUAGCUAAUCACGGUCGGACAUCGUGAGGUUAGUGCAAUGGCAUAAGCUAGCUUAACUGCGAGACAGACACGUCGAGCAGGUACGAAAGUAGGUCUUAGUGAUCCGGUGGUUCUGUAUG